rnacentral:rRNA from 1 species
CCUAGUAACGGCGAGUGAAGCGGCAACAGCUCAAAUUUGAAAUCUGGCUACCUUUCGUAGUCCGAGUUGUAAUUUGUAGAGGAUGCUUUUGGUGAGGUGCCUUCCGAGUUCCCUGGAACGGGACGCCAUAGAGGGUGAGAGCCCCGUACGGUUGGAUACCAAGCCUCUGUAUAGCUCCUUCAACGAGUCGAGUAGUUUGGGAAUGCUGCUCUAAAUGGGAGGUAUAUCUCUUCUAAAGCUAAAUAUAGGCUAGAGACCGAUAGCGCACAAGUAGAGUGAUCGAAAGAUGAAAAGCACUUUGAAAAGAGAGAUAAACAGCACGUGAAAUUGUUGAAAGGGAAGCGCCUAUGACCAGACAUGUUUCUGGCAGUUUCGUUAGCCCUCGGGCUGAUUUACUCUGUCCAGUACAGGCCAGCAUCAGUUUGUUGUCGGGGAGAAAGGCUCUGGGAACGUAGCUCCCCCCUUCUGGGGGGAGUGUUAUAGCCCUCUGCAUAAUACCCUUCGGCAGACUGAGGACCGCGCUUCGGCAAGGAUGCUGGCGUAAUGGUCAUCAGCGACCCGUCUUGAAACACGGACCAAGGAGUCAACCUUAUGUGCGAGUGUUUGGGUGUAAAACCCCAGCGCGUAAUGAAAGUGAACGUAGGUGAGAGCUUCGGCGCAUCAUCGACCGAUUCUGAUGUUUUCGGAUGGAUUUGAGUAAGAGCACACAGGGUUGGACCCGAAAGAAGGUGAACUAUGCUUGUAUAGGGUGAAGCCAGAGGAAACUCUGGUGGAGGCUCGCAGCGGUUCUGACGUGCAAAUCGAUCGUCAAAUAUGAGCAUGGGGGCGAAAGACUAAUCGAACCUUCUAGUAGCUGGUUCCAGCCGAAGUUUCCCUCAGGAUAGCAGUGCAGAAUUUUCUUCAGUUUUAUGAGGUAAAGCGAAUGAUUAGGGACUCGGGGGCGCUAUAUUGCCUUCAUCCAUUCUCAAACUUUAAAUAUGUAAGAAGCCCUUGUACUAAUGAAAGGGGCAAAGAAGUGGCAGACACUUUUC